UCUUGGCUCAGGAUGAACGCUAGCGACAGGCUUAACACAUGCAAGUCGAGGGGCAGCACGGGAGUAGCAAUACAACUGGUGGCGACCGGCGCACGGGUGAGUAACGCGUAUGCAACCUACCUAUCAGAGGGGAAUAACCGGCGAAAGUCGGACUAAUACCGCAUAAAACAGGGGCACCGCAUGGUGAUAUUUGUUAAAGAAAUUCGCUGAUAGAUGGGCAUGCGUUCCAUUAGGUAGUUGGUGAGGUAACGGCUCACCAAGCCGACGAUGGAUAGGGAACUGAGAGGUUGGUCCCCCACACUGGUACUGAGACACGGACCAGACUCCUACGGGAGGCAGCAGUGAGGAAUAUUGGUCAAUGGGCGGGAGCCUGAACCAGCCAAGUCGCGUGAAGGAAGAAGGAUCUAUGGUUCGUAAACUUCUUUUGCAGGGGAAUAAAGUGCAGGACGUGUCCUGUUUUGUAUGUACCCUGAGAAUAAGGAUCGGCUAACUCCGUGCCAGCCGCGGC
rnacentral:rRNA from 1 species